rnacentral:rRNA from 1 species
AACGAACGCUGGCGGCAGGCCUAACACAUGCAAGUCGAACGCCCUAGCAAUAGGGAGUGGCAGACGGGUGAGUAACACGUGGGAACCUUCCCUAUAGUACGGAAUAGCCCAGGGAAACUUGGAGUAAUACCGUAUACGCCCGAGAGGGGAAAGAUUUAUCGCUAUAGGAUGGGCCCGCGUCGGAUUAGCUAGUUGGUGAGGUAAUGGCUCACCAAGGCAACGAUCCGUAGCUGGUUUGAGAGAAUGACCAGCCACACUGGGACUGAGACACGGCCCAGACUCGUACGGGAGGCAGCAGUGGGGAAUCUUGGACAAUGGGCGCAAGCCUGAUCCAGCCAUGCCGCGUGAGUGAUGAAGGCCUUAGGGUUGUAAAGCUCUUUUGGCGGGGACGAUAAUGACGGUACCCGCAGAAUAAGUCCCGGCUAACUUCGUGCCAGCAGCCGCGGUAAAAC